AAUAACUCUAUUUUUCAUUUUUUUCGUGUCCAACGUUUGGCCAUUCGUCUCAUUUGAAAAAUUUGUUAAAAAACCUAAAAAAAAUUAACCAUGUAUAAAGUACUAUUCAUAUUUUAUCAUCUAGUAAUAAUAACAAUAUUAAUUGCAAAAAAAUUUCAAAUAAGACAAAUGGUCAAACGUUGGACACGGAAAAACGAAAAAUGAGGUUAUU
rfam:Oryza brachyantha chromosome 1, whole genome shotgun sequence.